AUCAUUCACAAUGGGGGAAACCCUGAUGGUGCGACGCCGCGUGGGGGAAUGAAGGUCUUCGGAUUGUAAACCCCUGUCUUUAGGGACGAAAAAAUGACGGUACCUAAGGAGGAAGCCACGGCUAACUACGUGCCAGCAGCCGCGGUAAUACAGAGGUCUCAAGCGUUGUUCGGAAUCACUGGGCGUAAAGCGUGCGUAGGCUGUUUCGUAAGUCGUGUGUGAAAGGCGCGGGCUCAACCCGCGGACGGCACAUGAUACUGCGAGACUAGAGUAAUGGAGGGGGAACCGGAAUUCUCGGUGUAGCAGUGAAAUGCGUAGAUAUCGAGAGGAACACUCGUGGCGAAGGCGGGUUCCUGGACAUUAACUGACGCUGAGGCACGAAGGCCAGGGGAGCGAA
rnacentral:rRNA from 1 species